rnacentral:rRNA from 1 species
AAUGUACCCUUUUCUACGGAAUAGCCUCGGGAAACUGAGAUUAAUACCGUAUACGCCCUUCGGGGGAAAGAUUUAUCGGAGAAGGGAUCAGCCCGCGUAAGAUUAGAUAGUUGGUGGGGUAAUGGGCCUACCAAGUCUACGAUCUUAGCUGGUUUGAGAGGAUGAUCAGCAACACUGGGACUGAGACACGGCCCAG